rfam:Gossypium raimondii Chr11_contig_151, whole genome shotgun sequence.
AUACUUACCUGGACGGGGUCAAUGAGUGAUCAGGAAGACUCAUGGCCUAGAGCGGUGACCUGCAUUGCACUUGGUAGGGGUGCUGCUUUAAGGUCUCCCCAAGAGGGAGAGCCUACGUCAUAAUUUGUGGCAGUGGGGGCUUGCGUUCGCGCAGCCCCUAU